CCCCAUCUGGACCCACAGGGAGUGACACACACAUGUGACAUUGGGGACACACAUGAGGGGACAUUGGGACACACAGGAGGUGACAUUGGGGACACACAUGAGGGGACACACAUAGUGACACACGUGUGACAGUGGGGACACACAUGAGGGGACACACGCACGGUGACACACGCAUGAGGUGACACACGUGUGACAUUGGGGACACACAUGAGGGGACAUUGGGGACACACAUGGGGUGACACACGCAUGGUGACACACGCAUGAGGUGACACACGUGGGACAUUGGGGACACACGGGAGGUGACACACACACGUGUGACAGUGGGGACACACGUGAGGGGAAAUUGGGACACACAUGUGACACACCCAUGAGGUGACACACGUGUGACCUUGGGGACGCACAUGAGGUGACACACACAGGAGGGGACACACGGGAGGGGACAUUGGGGACACACAUGGGGUGACACACGCAUGAGGUGACACACGUGUGUGACAUUGGGGACACACGUGAGGUGACAUUGGGGACACACAUGAGGGGACACACGCAUGGUGACACACGCAUGAGGUGACACACGUGGGUCGUUGGGGACACACGGGAGGGGACAUCGGGACACAUGUGAGGUGACACUCACGGUGACACAUGUGUGACAUUGGGGACACACAUGAGGGGACACACGCACGGUGACACACGCAUGAGGUGACACACGUGUGUGACAUUGGGGACACACAUGAGGGGACAUUGGGACACAUGUGAGGUGACACACAUGUGUGACAUUGGGGACACACAUGAGGGGACACACGCAUGGUGACACACACAUGAGGUGACACACGUGUGACCUUGGGGACACACACGAGGUGACAUUGGGACACACAUGGGGUGACACACACAGGAGGGGACACACGUGUGACCUUGGGGACACACGGGAGGUGACACACAUGUGUGACAUUGGGGACACACAUGAGGUGACAUUGGGGACCCACAUGAGGUGACAUUGGGGACACACGGGAGGUGACACCCAUGUGUGACAGUGGGGACACACAUGAGGGGACAUUGGGGACACACAUGAGGGGACACACGCACGGUGACACACGCAUGAGGUGACACACGUGUGUGACAUUGGGGACACACAUGAGGGGACAUUGGGACACACGGGAGGGGACAUUGGGGACACACAUGAGGGGACACACGCAUGGUGACACACACAUGAGGUGACACACGUGUGACCUUGGGGACACACAUGAGGUGACAUUGGGGACACACGGGAGGUGACACGCAUGAGGUGGCACACGUGGGACAUUGGGGACACGCGUGAGGUGACAUUGGGGACACACGGGAGGGGACAUUGGGGACACACAGGAGGUGACACACACAGGAGGGACACACAUGAGGUGACAUUGGGGACAUACAUGAGGUGACACAUGCAUGAGGUGACACACGUGUGACCUUGGGGACACACAGGAGGUGACAUUGGGACACACGUGAGGUGACACACACAGGAGGUGACACACGUGUGACAUUGGGGACACACAGGAGGGGACAUUGGGGACACACGGGAGGUGACACACGCAUGAGGUGACACACGUGUGACAUUGGGACACACGGGAGGGGACAUUGGGGACACAUGUGAAGUGACACACACAUGUGAGGUGACAUUGGGGACACACAGGAGGUGACAUUGGGGGCACACGGGAGGUGACAUUGGGACACACGUGAGGUGACACACACAGGAGGUGACACACGUGUGACAUUGGGGACACACAGGAGGGGACAUUGGGACACACAUGAGGUGACAUUGGGGACACAUGGGAGGGGACAUUGGGGACACACGGGAGGUGACACACGCAUGAGGUGACACACGUGUGACAUUGGGACACACGGGAGGGGACAUUGGGGACACAUGUGAAGUGACACACACAUGUGAGGUGACAUUGGGGACACACAGGAGGUGACAUUGGGGACACACGUGAGGGGACAUUGGGACACACAGGAGGUGACACACACAUGUGAGGUGACACACGUGUGACAUUGGGGACACGGGAGGUGACAUUGGGGACACACGGGAGGGGACAUUGGGGACCCACAGGAGGUGACCUUGGGGACACACAUGAGGGGACAUUGGGGACACACGGGAGGUGACAUUGGGGACACACAUGUGACACACACAGGAGGUGACACACGUGUGACCUUGGGGACACACACGAGGGGACAUUGGGACACACGUGAGGUGACACACACAGGAGGUGACACACGUGUGACAUUGGGGACACACGGGAGGUGACACACGCAUGAGGUGACACACGUGUGACCUUGGGGACACACGGGAGGUGACAUUGGGGACACACGGGAGGUGACACACAUGUGUGACAUUGGGGACACACAUGAGGGGACAUUGGGACACACGGGAGGUGACACACAGUGACACACUCAUGGUGACACACAUGUGACAUUGGGGACACACAUGAGGGGACAUUGGGGACACACAGGAGUUGACACACGUGUGACCUUGGGGACACAUGGGAGGUGACACUGGGGACACACGGGAGGUGACACACACAGGAGGUGACAUUGGGGACACACGUGUGACAUUGGGACACACGGGAGGUGACACACACAGGAGGUGACACACUGACGGUGACACACCCGGCAGCGCUAUGGGGCACACCCAUGGCUACGUGCGCACACGGGGACACGUGGGGUGAUAAUGGGACACGUGGGGUGACAGUGGGGUGACAAUGAGACACGUGGGGUGACAGUGGGGACAUGUGGGGUGACAAUGGGGUGACAAUGGGACAGAUGGGGUGACAAUGGGGUGGCAGUGGGGUGACACAUGGGGUGACAGUGGGACAUGUGGGGUGUCAGUGGGGUGACAGUGGGGUGGCAGUGGGGUGACAAUGGGGACAGAUGGGGUGACAGUGGGACAUGCGGGGUGACAAUGGGACACAUGGGGUGACAAUGGGGUGGCAGUGGGGACACAUGGGGUGACAGUGGGGUGACAAUGGGGACAUGUGGGGUGACAGUGGGGUGACAAUGGGGUGACAGUGGGACAUGUGGGGUGACAGUGGGACAUGUGGGGUGACAAUGGGGAUAUGUGGGGUGACAGUGGGGCACGUGGGGUGGCAAUGGGGUGACAUAUGUGGUGACAAUGGGAUACGUGUGGUGACAGUCGGGUGACAAUGGGGUGACAAUGGGGUGACAAUGGGGUGACAAUGGGAUAUGUGUGGUGACAGUGGGGUGACAGUGGGGUGACAAUGGGGUGGCAAUGGGGUGACAAUGGGGUGACACGUGGGGUGAUAAUGGGGUGACACGUGGGGUGACAAUGGGGCACGUAGGGUGACAGUGGGGUGACAAUGGGGUGACAUGUGGUGACAAUGGGAUAUGUGUGGUGACAGUGGGGUGGCAAUGGGGUGACAAUGGGGUGACAGUGGGGUGGCAAUGGGGUGACAAUGGGGUGACACGUGGGGUGACAGUGGGGUGACAGUGGGGUGACAGUGGGAUACGUGUGGUGACAAUGGGGUGGCAAUGGGGUGACGAUGGGACACAUGGGGUGACAGUGGGGUGACAAUGGGGACAGAUGGGGUGACAGUGGGACAUGUGGCGUGACAGUGGGGUGACAAUGGUGAUAUGUGGGGUGACAAUGGGGUGACAGUGGGACACAUGGGCUGAUAAUGGGGUGACAAUGGGGUGACAAUGGGACAUAUGGGGUGACAAUGGGGUGACAGUGGGGUGACAAUGGGGACAGAUGGGGUGACAGUGGGGUGACAGUGGGAUACGUGUGGUGACAGUGGGGUGACAGUGGGGUGACAAUGGGGACAGAUGGGGUGACAGUGGGACAUGUGGGGUGACAAUGGCAAUGGGGUGACAGUGCUACACGUGGGGUGACAGUGGGGUGGCAAUGGGGUGACGAUGGGACACGUGGGGUGAGAAUGGGGUGACAAUGGGGCACGUGGGGUGACAAUGGGGUGACAAUGGGGUGACAAUGGGGACACAUGGGGUGACAAUGGGACACGUGGGGUGACAAUGGGGAUAUGUGGGGUGACAAUGGGGUGACAAUGGGACACAUGGGCUGAUAAUGGGGUGACAGUGGGCUGAUAAUGGGGUGACAGUGGGACACGUGGGGUGACAGUGGGGUGUCCCCACGGCAGCGGCUGUGGGGUCAGAGGUCGCGGCGGUGGCACUGUCCCCUCCUGAGGGCGGCGUCACCUCCGCCCCCCCCAUAAAACCAUAUAUGGGCCUUUAUGGGGCUUUUAUGGGGCUUUAUGGGGUGCCGUGGUGUUUUAUGGGGUGCCAUGGCGUUUUAUGGGGUGCUAUGGGGUUUUAUGGGGUGCUAUGGGGUGCUAUGGGGCUUUGCGGGGUUUUAUGGGGUGCUAUGGGGAUUUAGGGGGCUUUACGGGGUUUUAUGGGGUGCUAUGGGGUUUUAGGGGGGCGCUGUGGGGCUUUAUGGGGUGCUAUGGGGACAUAUGGGGCUUUGCGGGGUUUUAUGGGGUGCUAUGGGGUUUUAGGGGGGCGCUAUGGGGCUUUAUGGGGUGCUAUGCGGCUUUAUGGGGCGCUAUGGGGCUCUAUGGGGUUUUAGGGGGCCUUUAUGGGGCUUUACGGGGUUUUAUGGGGUGCUGUGGGGUUUUAGGGGGGCGCUAUGGGGCUUUAUGGGGUGCUAUGGGGACAUAUGGGGCUUUAUGGGGUGCUGUGGUUCUCUAUGGGGUGCUAUGGGGACAUAUGGGGCUUUAUGGGGUGCUGUGGUUCUCUAUGGGGUGCUAUGGGGCUUUAUGGGGCUUUAUGGGGUUUUAUGGGGUGCUAUGGGGUUUUAGGGGGGCGCUAUGGGCCUUUAUGGGGCUUUAUGGGGUUUUAUGGGGGCACUAUGGGGCUCUAUGGGGUGCUAUGGGGACAUAUGGGGCUCUAUGGGGCUUUAUGGGGGUGUUGUGGGGACAUAUGGGGCUCUAUGAGGCUCUAUGGGGACAUAUGGGGCGCUAUGGGGCUCUAUGGGGUGCUGUGGGGCUUUAUGGGGUGCUAUGGGACUCUACGGGGUGCUGUGGGGCUUUAUAGGGCGCUAUGGGACUCUAUGGGGUGCUGUGGGGCUUUAUAGGGCGCUAUGGGACUCUAUGGGGUGCUGUGGGGCUUUAUGGGGUGCUAUGGGACUCUAUGGGGUGCUGUGGGGCUUUAUGGGGUGCUAUGGGACUCUACGGGGUGCUGUGGGGCUUUAUAGGGCGCUAUGGGACUCUAUGGGGUGCUGUGGGGCUUUAUGGGGCGCUAUGGGACUCUAUGGGGUGCUGUGGGGCUUUAUGGGGUGCUAUGGGACUCUACGGGGUGCUGUGGGGCUUUAUGGGGCGCUGUGGGGCUUUAUGGGGCUCUAUGGGACUCUACGGGGUGCUGUGGGGCUUUAUAGGGCGCUAUGGGGCUUUAUGGGGUGCUAUGGGACUCUAUGGGGUGCUGUGGGGCUUUAUAGGGCGCUAUGGGACUCUAUGGUGUGCUGUGGGGCUUUAUGGGGCGCUAUGGGGCUCUGUGGGGACAUACGGAGCAUAUGGGGCCACGCUGCACACCUCAUCUCCCCCUUUUUCCCCCUUUUCCCCCCAUUUUCCCCCAUUCCCCCCUCAUCUCCCCCUCAUUUCCCCCUUUUCCCCCAUUUCCCCCAUUUCGCCCCAUUUCCCCCCCAUUUCCCCCAUUUUCCC
ensembl:lncRNA